GCCUGAUGGCCAAUGGUUGGCGCUCUGGUCUUUGAUACCAGAGGCUUCAGGUUCGAAUUCUGGUAUUGGCA